GCCCUAAAUGAAGGUCAUGGAGGCGGCGGCUUCGCCCCCCUUCAUACCUCCCUGUUGGACUUCGGCCGAGCUUAGUGCUCGGCCUUUUUU
rnacentral:ncRNA from 1 species